GCCGGCUGUGCCUGAGCCAGUGUGGGCUUAAGUUCUUCACGGCCCCGGGGCCCUGGGAAGGUGGAGCCAGCUGCUUCUCCCCGAAUAACUGGGAGGUGAAACAAGAAGCCCUAUGACGCAGUUGAUCGAAAAUGACACAGACACAGAAAAGUCAGGACUCGGCCCCCUCCAGUGCCUCCACCUGCUGCCCACGGCCAGAGUGCAGAUGGGCCAAGUAAGGAGCAGAAAGCAAAAGGACUCGGCUGAAGUGUGCAGCCUCCAGCAGCUCUCCCAUCCUUCAUGAACUGGAUCCGGAAAGGAGACUCUCAGGAGGUUCUCUCUCGCCUGGCUCCACUGUGUACAUUUUGUGUGUGCGGGCAUGCAUGCGACAUUCUUCACCGGGCUGCAGCUGGGGCUCAGUCCUGGAUGAGCCCACCCCUACUUGCUCCUCCCUCACCCCCCCCCUCCUCCCUGCGCUGCCUCACCCCGGUGUCACAGGCCUACCCAGCCCCCAGCCCCUUGGUAGAGGCGGGGAGCAGAGGGAGGCUCAGACUGUGGCCCGAGGUUAUUUACAGGGUGGGGGUGGGGGAGGGAAGAGAAAUUCACUGCUUUGUUUAUCUUCGGAGUCUGGAAACUCGACAGAAUUCAUCCAUUUCCAAGGAAGCCUGCAUGUGCAGGCUUCCAAAACGAAAAAAUAAAAGGAGAUUCACUUCAAAAGAAACUAAGUGAAAAGCUGUUUUCUUUGUGAGCUGAUUUGUUUAUUAUUAUUGUAUUUUUUUAACAUGAGGUUUGCUGAAAGCAGGCAAAGGGAGUCUUUUUUUUCCCGUAUUUUUAUUACAUUUUUACUCUCAUCCUCUGUUGCCUUAUCAGUGAGGAGGGCAAAUAAUAUUUUAAGAGACUGAUAGAAGUAUGUUCUCACUCAUCUCACACGGCUAUGGGAAAUCGAGGUUCUGCGUAAACGUUUACAAUCACGUUUUCUGCUGAGGUUAUAGAGGACUGAGAGUCUUCCAUUCGUGUUUUAAUCCAAUUCACUCAAAUUGUCCCACUUUUACAAAUGAAAAACAGUGUGCUUCAGCCCAGCUCUUUACGACUAGUUUUUUUUAAAUAAUAAAAACAAUUUUAAUAUGCUGGAUGGUUGUCUG
rnacentral:lncRNA from 1 species